UACUCUUGACAUCCAGAGAACAUUCCAGAGAUGGAUUGGUGCCUUCGGGAACUCUGAGACAGGUGCUGCAUGGCUGUCGUCAGCUCGUGUUGUGAAAUGUUGGGUUAAGUCCCGCAACGAGCGCAACCCUUAUCCUUUGUUGCCAGCGAUUAGGUCGGGAACUCAAAGGAGACUGCCGGUGAUAAACCGGAGGAAGGUGGGAUGACGUCAAGUCAUCAUGGCCCUUACGAGUA
rnacentral:rRNA from 1 species